GCAACCGUGGUGCAGUGGUUUAGCAUUCCAGCCUCCCAAGCUGGGGACUCGGGUUCGAACCCCGGCGGUUGCA
rnacentral:tRNA from 1 species